ACUUUCGUGCUUAGACUCUGAGUGUAUAAAAACCCAGGGUUUGCUUUGUUUGGGGUUCCUCCUUAGAGGCACCAGCUUGAACUGUUAUUUUGUUAUUUACUUAUUGCACCAAGAUUAAGCUAUUUUAAGGAUCGGGACAUCUGAGACUGCUGUGGGAAACCUGGGGUCGAGCAGGUAAGAAAACCUGGUCUGAUUAUGUGAGUGUGGGGUAUGUAGCCGAAAUGGGGCCUUGGUCUUCUCUCAGGUGGUGCAAGUGUGACUGGCAGAGUGGCUCCUGGAUGGUCAGACAAGGAAGUUUCCUUAGGAGUUUUGUCUUCCCCCAAAAAUCUCUUCUGUUUUAAACUGUUAUUAAUCUGUUUUUGCAUUCCUUUCCCAUGAAAAGUUUGUUAAGUUUAAGUAGAGUGCACAAAGAAGAAUCCAUUGUAGUGCCAAGACAACAUGAAAAGGUAAGAUGUGACCAAGGACUCAGAGGUUUUAAAAAGGUUUACUACCAUCUUAAAAAAUCCUCAGACUUUGCUUUUACAAAAAAAGGGUAAUUGUGUCCAUGUUUUAUCACUGAAAACUGUCAGUCACACAUCAACAGAAACAAGCAGAGACUUCCUAGGCCUCUGAUAAUUUAAUGGUAUAAGGCAGAGGAUGAUCAUAUUCACACUAAAUGCUUGUUUUAGUAAUUUCGCUCCUUAAUACUCUUCAGUUGACUCUGUGGUACUCAUAGGUUAAUUUGAAUUUAAGGGUAUAAAGGGAUACAAAUAAGAACAUAGUUUUAUUUAUUGUUUUCAUUCCUGUGUGGUCCUUUUAAAAGACUGAACCUUUUGGGAAGGAUGUCAAAGCAUGUUUUUUCUUCAUAACUGGACACUUUCCUUGAGAGUUUUGGCCCCAAAAAUCUCAGCAUCAAGCUGCCUCGCAGCCCUUGUUGUUCUGGAUAUCAUGAGAUAUGGCCAUACAUGGAAAUCUUCUCUGCUGUCAGUAGGUGAGGAGGAUGUACCCCUUUCCCCGAGUCUGCGUUUAGGUGUUUUGGUAUUAUAUUGCUAAUUAUUUAGUUAUUAGGCAGUUGAAUCUUUGUAGGCAUGAAAGCAGUGUUUGUAAAGUAAUACAAUUUGUUCCAUGAAUAGCAGUCUGCCUUAGCAAUCAAAAUCUGUGACCACAUUUCUUCUCAUUUUGAAGUCUUAUUGGGAGAUUUUUCAGGUAUUAGAACUGCACUUUCAGACCUGUCUGCGAUCUGGUUUAAACUGUCUUUGGGAUUCUCUCUUUUUGUGAAAUCCUGACUGCUGACAACAGGUACAUUCAGAUGGAAAAGAAAUUUCAUUUGCCCCUGAAAUAAAUCCCGUAUGUAUUCAAAAGACACCUUUCUCUGAGACUAUCAAUCAGAAAGUCAUGUAGGAAAGAGUUCAUACAUCACUAAAUUAACAUGAUGUUCUGUUCUGAAAAUAUUGAUGUUGAAUAUUAAAUAUAUAAUAAAAUAACAGAAAAAAAGUUGGCUUGAUUUCUACACGUGUAACCAGAAUCUUUCCCACAAAGAAAACUGAGAUAUACAUUGUUAAUUUUAUAGUGACAGAUAUAACAUAUAUCUAUGUCUUUUGGAAACAUCUGGAAAAGCAAAGGAAUUGUGGGAAAUUGUGAGAAACAAUUGUUGCUUUUGACUCAUGUUAGACUCAAAAGAUACUAUAGGAAAGAACCGUAGACAGCCUUUACUUAAACCUUUACUUAAAGCAGUUUGCAUAAUCUACCCCCCCAACCCCACUCAGUUUUGUGAGGUUUCAUGGUGGAGGAGGGGUGGUUCUUCAUUGAGAUGAGAGAAAGAAAAAGAUAACCAAGAGUUCAUAGGAACUUCACUUUCAUAAAAUAUAGCAACCCUCUAAAAAACCCUUUCUUGCAUUAUCUUUUUUUACUGAUAUUUCUGUUUCCUUCAUAUUCUAGGAGAGCAUUUUAUUUCUCACUGGCUUACACAAUGUUCUGAAAAGAAGACAGAAGGCCAAAAGAUCACCAGAAUAUUUCUGCUUUUAAGGAAAAAUUUUAUUCUGGAGUAUCAGACAUGUGCAUAAGACAAUGCAGAUCACCAUUUUUUUUUUUUCUUGGAAGUGCUUGACAUUUCUGUCUCAGAAACAUAAAAUGUGCAUGUGUGAAUGAGUGCAGUGAUAUUACAUUAAAUAGAAUCAUAGAGAACAGAGUUGAACUAUUUGUGGAUUACAUAUAAUAGUUUCAUUUUCCUUAGGUUUAUCUAUUAGAGAGAGUAAAAAAUUUGAAAAAUAAUAAAAAUCAUGACCUAAACCUUCUCAUUCAUGGCAACAUUUUGCCAUUAAAAUAGAUGGAUUGCAGUUGUUUGACAUCUCUAAUGACUCAUGACCAUGCCCAAGAGACUGCAAGCAUGCUGACCCAGUAUAUCAUGCUAUCCAAGAAGAAAAGGAUACAUGAAGAAAAUACCUACUUGAAUUUCAUUUGAGUGAGGGCAUCUGGCUUCCAACAAUAGAGAACUACAGUAACUGUGACUCUAUAGCGUUGUCCAAAUGUAAUUUUAAGACAUGACGGUCCCCAGCUAGUGCCAAAAACUAGUUCUGUACAGAACGUCUAUUUGUUGUAGAUGAAAUCAACUCUUUCUUUGACUUAUUUCCUUUAACCACUGUGAGAAACAGUCACCCACUUUAGCACCAAUUACCUCACGUGGGAGAAGUAUGGGAAACAUUAGGAAAAACUCUCUAACUAGAUGUCAAUGCCUGAAUUAAAUUACUUGGGAAAUAAACGGGGUAUUUCAAACACUGGUGAUUUUUUAGUUUUGGUUGUUUGUUUUUUUUAGGAACUUAUUAACUAAAACCAUUCCCUGACAGGUUUUUUAACUAAGAAGUACUGAAUGCCUUCAAAUGGUAUUUAGAGAGAUGAUGAGGUUAAGGAAGCUAUUGCACCACAUCGUGGUGGUGAACUGUGAGUAUUUGGCUGAACUCAGUGACUCUAUGAGCCUGACUAAUUCCCAAGAGUCAGACUUUUGAACAGUCCUCACCUCCUUUGUCCACAGAAAAACAUUUUAUUUACCCAUAUCAUAUUACAGCAUAUCAUAUUACAUAGCAUGCAACAGAGUGACUGAUGUAUGGAUGAUACUCCCAACGUCGUGCUAAACUGAUGAAGCUAAUACAUGUAAGAGAUUUGUAGACUUUGACUGCACAGCUGGCCAAGCGUUAACAGAAAACUUCUAAUUGUGGCAGUGAGAGAAGGGACCAAGAACCAGAGGUAAGCCAGCAGCAGACCCCUGUGACAUGAAAAACUACAAAUUACCUAAGUUUUCAAAGUCAAAAUAAUUGAAUCUUCUAUUAUCCUGACAUCUAGGGUACAAAGACAAUUUUUUUUACUGAGAGAAUAAUUUUAAAAUCAUGUAAGAACGUAUAUCUAAUACAGGGGCCUUCGGUUUCUUUGCUCCUUUUUCUUACAUAUAGGGUCACAAGUGGACACAAUUCUGAAAAGAUACUAGCAGUUCUAAGCAUUUUUGGCUAGAAUAUUAGUGAAAUUAGAAGAAUAAGUGCACAGACAAACAACUCACAAUUCAACUUCUAUUCAAUGUUUUGGGAGAAGAAUUUUUUUGUUUGGUUGAUUGGGGUUUUUUUGUUGUUGUUUGGUUCUUUUGGUGUUUUAUUUUGGGGGGGUUUUUUUGUAUGUAAUAACAUGAAAAUGGUAAGAUGUUUUGCUUCUGAAACAAUUUUGGGUAUACUGUGAACAAAUCAUGCCUUUCUACACAAAUACAACCUGGAACAUUUAUCAAAUGUUUAUGUUUUCCAUAUUAAAGCCUCAAAUAGGUACUGAAUAUAUUUAUAUUGGUUGAGAUGUAUAAAAAUAUUUUUAAAUUAUAUAAUAUUUUAUUUAAUUAUUAUUAAUAAUAAUAGUAAUAAUUCCUUUGAAUGUACCAUAAAUUUUUGACUGUGCAUCCUAUAUGUGGUUUUGAGAAAAAAGAAUUCCUCAAAAAUGGGGUUAAAAUGAUUUGCUAGAUUUUCCUUUCAGAGAUCUUACAAAAGUAUGGCUUUUGGGCAUGCUGUUAGGAUUGAACUUCUUGACUACUUUCUUAGAAAUUUAUUAAAAAUAUGAAAUCUCUCAAAUCACCCUUAAAAUGGUAUAAUUUUAAUUUUAAUUUCAUGUAGAUAUUGAAGCAAAGAGCUUUCAGUAGAUAUAUGAUAUCUAAAAUAUAACACAUAAUAUCUAAAACAUAAUACAUAGGUAAUUUCAUGUUAAUGUCUUCCAUUUGCAUGAUGACACAAUCCUACCAGUUUUGCCAUUUAUGUCACAUUUUCGUUCUGGAAAUUUGGUUGGAAAAUUCAGACCAGAAGAAUGUGGGCUGCCUCUUCUGUUGCUGUUAUAAAAGACAUUUUCCUAAAUUAAGAAAAUAAAUACAUUCAAUCAAUGCUUUCACGAUGUCAAUAUUCUCAAAGAAAAAUCUAUUUUAUUGUAAUCCAAAAAUGUGUUAUAAUGUAACCCUUGUCAUGUGAUUUUAUGUCUUUUUUUAUAAAAAUAUUUUAAAAAAUAAAAUUUUCAUAUGUUAUCUAUAGAUUCUUCAGAUAAUGUUUACUACAAAAAGAAUUCCUCUUAAGAGGACAAUGCAGAAAGCCUGUGUGCCAUUGAUGAAGUGGAUUUAACCCCAUAAAACUGGUAUAAAGAGAGAGACAAGAGUGAGGGAAUGAUCUCAUAGGAGCUACUACAGACCUACUUUGAAUAUUUUUAAGCCCUAAAGCAAUAGUAUCAUGUACUUCAAUUUAAUUUCUCCACACUGCUUUACUUUGAUUAUUUCAAUGAGUGCACUCGACUCAUAUAAAGAUACCAAUUUCAAAGGGAAAAGAGAAAAUUGUCAGAAAGGAAAAUUCCCUCACUUGCAAAUACAAAUAUACUAGCUUUUGGAAAAAUGUUUCUGCCAUGUUGAACUUUUUUAUUACAUAUAGAGAACAGGAAGUUUGAUCAGAGGAGGAGUGGUUUUUCAGGAACUGCCAGUGGGAUAGUGCAUACAGGUUUACUGUAAUUUCAGCUUUCUUUGGUGGACUAAGUAUCUGUCUAGAGAGAGGAUCUGUCAGAAAAUGUAGUGUAAAUGUGGUGACUUUCCAUUUGGAGACAGCACUUUGUCACUGAAGAAGCCUACAUAAACAGUUUACACUGCAAAGUUAGAAAGGAUGAAACCUACCCUUGGACAGUUCUGACAUACUGGAGUCCCACACUGUGGGUGAUCCUUUAGGUUGCUUAAGAAAUAGAAGUGUUUCGUGUUGGCUUUAUUACUUAGGGUGGGGAAUAGUGUCCUCUAGGGCUGAACAAUUUGGCCUCUGCUUGUUUUGUGCAUAUCACAUACAUCUCUUCCAAAAAUAUAUUGCUUUGACCAGCACUCAUCUGAUUAAGGUGUAAGUUCCUUGUUCAUGGUGCACUGUGUUUAGUUCACAGCAUAAGCUUAUUUUUGUAGAAAAGAUUAUACAUAUAUGCAAUGCUGUAUAUUUAUAUUAAAUUCAGAAUAAUGUGAACAUAAUGUUUAGUGUAUUUUAACAUUAAUUCUCUUUAAGUAGAAUAUUUAAAAUGUCCAUGGUUUUAUUCUUGGUAUGAAAAUGCAGGCAAAUAAUGUUCAAAACUAUUUUGAAUCCCACUGAUUUGAAUCAUUGACACCAAUGACUGCUCAGCAGUGAGAUGGUUAUUUAGAUGUUAGAUGCUAUACAAAAACAAAAAUUAAAAACCAAAAACAAACCCAAACCAAUCCUCAAGCCUUUGAAUAUUUUUUCUUCUAAAAUUUUGAAUUUCAGUGAAAAUGAAUGUAGCUCAUGGAGCUUUCACUCCCUGGCACUUCAAAUGAUUUUGUUUCUGUCUUUUCCCAGUUACACAAAAUAUGAUUGAGUCUAUGCCUGGCUUUGAGAUGCUGCCAAUAGUACCACAUUUGAUAGCCUUCUGUGCUAGGCCAAGGUAAUUGUAAUGUUAAUGAUGAAAAUAAAUCACAAUCAGUGUAUGCUCUUUGUGGCAUUAGGAAAAAGUCUUUAAAUAACAAUAGUGGAUUUUUUUGCUUUCUUUUGGAAACAAAUUAAGCUUGAGUGGAAGAUCUCUUAAGAUCUCAGUCAUCAUGUUAAUGCAAUGAAUUGCAGUAAAAAGAACAUGUAUCAGCUUGUAGUCUCUCCACUGCUUAACCACAAAAGGUUAGACUAAUGUUUUCCCAGCACCUUUACUGUGGCAUUCUCUGGCUUUUAUUCAUCAGACCUCUGUUAACAUUUUCAGUAGUUUUCCUAUUUAAUUUGCAAGCGAAUUGAUGUGUUAUUGAAUUAUUAACAUGCUGCUCUUUUUAGAACAGCAAGUUCUUGUUUGCUCUAGGUUAACAUUACCCCAGGAGUAAUAGUGCAAAAGUAAUUAUUAGGUUAUUAAUUUAACAAAGUUUUUUUGAUCUAGUUCAAUUUUAAGACUAAAGCUAUAGACUUCAUACUUAAUUUUACCACGGGAAAAAAACACCAACAAAUCCGGUAUAAAUCACAGGAAGUAAAAACGCCAGUGGCUUUAUAGGAGCAAACAUUUUAUUGUUAAUAACAUUUCUAGAUAAAAAAGAUUUACAGCUCGGUACAACUUCAUAAUGAAGUUUAAAAGUUUUGUAUAUUAUACAUUGCCAUAUCUACAGGUAUGAUAGACUGCAGUUCAGGCACACUGGUUAUUUGCAGUAGACAUGGCGAGAAGGAUCUGUGGAUGAAUUUGUUCAGGGCUCCAUGCUGUGACUUAUACAUUAAUCAUGAAGCAUCAUGCUUAUGCAAAUAUGCAGCAGUCUAAUUACUCAUACAGAGUAGAACAUGGAAUAAUGUUAUGAGCUACUGGGCCUCUGGAAUAUGUUCCUCAGCCAAUUUUCAAAAGCAAAGUAGAUCGAAGAUGCUUUUUUACUUUGGAAAACAAAUGUACAAUUGUCUUCCUAGUGCUUAUUUCAUGCUUUCAAUUUUUAAAAUGAAACUUGACCCCAGUUGGCAUGACAUUUUCCUAGACACUGAAGAGUAGCUGCAGAUAUUCUGAAUCACUGACAAAGAAAACAAAAUGUUCAUUCAGAGCCCAGACCAAAAACUUUGAGAAUCCUAUAUUUGGAGAAUUUAUUCAGUGUGUUUUGUGCAUUCUGCCUCAUGAAAAUGUUGAGGUUGGAUUUGGCAUUUUCUUCUUGCUACAAUAUGUGAUUAAUCAAAAUAUUCUGAUUUUACUUCUGAGAAUUCAACGUCUUAAAGAUAAAUAUGCAGAAUAUUAAGCAUUCCACUUUAUAAUACAAGGUUUCAUUGCAGAGAUUUGUCCAUAAAUUACUCUUUAACAAAAUUACUAUGUGCUUCCUUCUUCCAUGAAUUUUUUUCAGAUUUUCUUCACAUCUUUUAGUAAGAUUGGAUAAAAAUUAAAUAGUAAUUUACUUACUUUUUUUGCAGCUGUUGUAGAGAAAAAGAAAUCACUUACAAAACAAGUCACGAGUGUCAUGAUAAACACAACACAGCACUAAACAAUCCUAAAAUAACAAUACUUUUCACUAAAUAAGCUCAUCUUGCUUGAUCUAUGCAUUCUUCACCCAUUCACAGGUUAGUGUGUAGAUCAAAUUCCAUCUAUACACAACAGCGAAACACAGAGUGCCGUUUAUGUGUACAAAAAUAAUUAUCUGUGACAACAAAAGCAAAUGUCUAAAGACUGCCAUAGAAAGAUAGAAUGAAGACCUUUUAACAAAGGUUCCAAUAUGCUUAGAAAUACCUGAAGAUACUCCCUGCUGUGGCGGCCUGUGAUGCAAGGAGGUUUUAGUGGAAAUUGAUGUUCCAGCUGCAGUAGAGCAUCAAAUAAAAGCUAAAGAGUGGAAAUUUUAGAUGGUAAGCAAGAGAUUUGUCCUUUUUAAAAGAUAUAAGAAAGAGGGUAUGAAAGUGUGAGAUUUUGUGAUUUUUAAGUUGCAGAGGACACAUCAUCAUCUGAAUAUCAUAUCACAGGAUGAUGAGGAGGCUGUCAGUCUUCUUCCUGUCCAGUAGAGGAUUAUUGGAGCCCCUUACAAAGAAAAGUAUUAUAUAUUUUGUUGUAUCUCUCUAUCAGUAAGGUAGCACCAGAGGUGACUUAAAAGAGGGUUUUAGGGUGAGAUUUGGCUGUUUGGGGGUUCCUGUGGCCAUGAACACCUAAGCGCUGCCUUUUGGGGAGUCAGAAGCCCUCGGCAGGCAAACAGGUGAGCAGAGAACGAUGCCAAGAGCAAUCAGGGCAGAGUUAAACGGCUCCAGAGAGGGUGUGGAACAGAGGUGUGGCACGUCAGUGAGGACAUUUGCACAGCAGGACAAGCAGGAAGGUCUCCUCUCUGACCAUCUGGGAGCAGCCAAUAGAGGCAACAAACAGACUCAGAAAGCAGAGCCACCUUUAAGACUGCUAUGUCACUUGUGUGGAUGGAAAAUCUCUUCUGGACAGCAAGUUCAUCAAGACAAAACAGAAUGUGGCAUGAUAUAGUUGCCUGAGAGCUGGCACUCUCUAGGAUACCAGAGGUAACUAUAGCGGACUGGCAGCUGGGACACAGAGAUUGUUGGAGGCCCUUGCACUUCUUCAGUGGCAGCUGGAGUGCAGGUAGGACAUCCCCUUGACCCUUUAUGGACUAAUGAUGAUCCAUUUGUCAAACAAGAAUUUUCUCUAACACUUGGAUUUGGCAAGACACAAUUAAGCUGGUCUAGUGGAAGGUGCCCCUGCUCAUGGCAGGGGGGUUGGAACUAAAUGGUGCCCUAGGUCCCUUCCAAGUCAAACCAUUCUAUGAUCCUAUAAUUGUAUGAUUCUAUGAUAACAAUUUCAUUGGAUAUGUCAUUUUCAGUUACAUUCCAGGAAGCUUAAUUGUUGUUAAGUGGUAGGGAUACUUUUUGUUAAAUGGUAGGUAUACAGACUGUCAGGUGAUACUAUUUAAUGGCUGUGCAACAUUUCAGCUUCACAAACCCACUCUGUUACCAUUUGCUAUUUGGAAGUUCAUGGAUUGUAUGAGUUCCACCUAAACAUAUGUAGAUGAAGUGUCUUUAACAACAAUAGCUGCUCGUGUAUGCAUCCAGUUGUACUACUUCUGACAUGGUAGCUGUGCAUUAGAACUCAGACACACUAACACUGUAACACAGUUGGGUUUUUUUAUCAGAGCAUGGGAUAAAAUCAGCCUAGCUCAACUCACUCCUUCUCAAGUAGUAAGUAAUCUUAUAUUUGAUGACCCAAAAUAUACAAAAGAGGUUUUUAGAUUAGAUCAGUGUGAUCUAAUUAGAUUAGAUUAUGAGCUCAGAAUAGAGAAUGCUGGCUGAAAUCUUUGGUCUUGUAUACUGAAAAAGAAAUCAUUUGGCACUUCUGUUGCCGUUUCCAAUAUGUUUGGUGUUUGGAAUAUAUGACAUAUCAGUUUUGCAAAAUGAGAGAAACAAUUCAUUGUCAUCAAGGCUCUUGGUAGGUUUAUGUGUUUCAUUGAACAACUGGUUUUAGAGUAUUUCAUUUUUAUAACUUCAAAAAAUAACAUCUUUCAUUUCAGAAGAAAUAAAAUGCUGCUCAUCUUAGAUAGAAGUAACAGGUGAAAGUUGGUUCCACUUGCACAUGGUAUGAAAAUUCGAAUACUGAAGAAUAAAAUAAAUCAUAUAUUGGAAUAUUCAGAUUUUAAUAAAUGAUCUUUUCCAUUCCAAGAGCAAUACUGCUUAUAUUUGUAUCCUAUAAUCAGCCUUAGGAUUUGGUGUUGGUGAAGAAAUUUCUCUCUUAGCCUGUAGCCAUGUGCUUUCUACUGUUCUUUCAUCCAGCAAUUUUAUUUGUCCUCUUUUGGUCCCAUUUUUAUUCUGUUCUGCAUACUCACACUUUCUGAUCCCCUGCCUUGGAUUUCAUUUUCUCAGCUCUUAUCCCAGCAGAUUUCUUUUCAAAAUACAGGCAUAGCUCUGAGAAAAAGGCUUGGGAAGGAGGAUCCCUGGGGAGAAGGCCUCGGGGGAAUUGAAACGUCUCAGUUUAAAUGUAACAAUGAGUCGAUCUCAGGAUUGCACAGGGAUGAAUGCAGUUAAGUGUGCUAGGUUUGUAUUGUAUGUUUCUCGAACAGCAAUUCUAACUUCCCUGUACUAAAUAAUCAUACUUCAAACCUGUCUAAAAGAAUUUUUUUAAUUAAGCAAUAUGAGAAAGAUAUUUGAACUUUAGGUUAAAAAAAAGUUUUUAUUUCACUCAAUAAUACAGAUCUAUUUACUGGUCAUUUGGGCUAAAUUUCAAAAAACUUUGCACCCCAAAAAAGUACCUAGUCCUGGGGUAUUAAAGCAGCAUAUAUUAACAGAAAUUUUAUGGCUGACAGCUGGGCCGGUUGAUGAUAGCUGAAGAAAAACAAGUUUUGCUAACUGGAAAGAUUAUUACUAAAGGGCUCACACUAGUGAGAUGGCAAAAUCAAAUACAGAUUGUGCCUUUAGCUAUUGGGAUUGUAAUAUGUGUGACUGUGAAAUCUACACAUGCAACCUGAUGAUUUUUCAUGGUACGUUUUUACUCAUUCUGUAUAUGAAAGACAAAUGGUAUCUUCUUUUCCUGGCACCACACCAAACAAUUUCUUGAUGUAAGAUACAGCCUAAACAGAACAAUGUCAUGAUUUUAUGCAAAUUGUGCUGGCUCAUCUGCACUAAUUCUUGGUAAUCAUUAAGAUUUUAAAAAUAUAUAUGUCACUUUAUUUACCAGUCACCUGUAAUAUUUGUUUUCUAGACUCUAACAUAUAAAACUGGGUUUAAUAUACUAUAUAUCAGUUUAUGCUAAUGUAGAUAACUGAGUUUUAAACUACUAUAGAGCCAUCAAUAGCUAAAUUCUGUGGUAUAACUUCAGAGACUUGGAUAACACAGGCCUUUUAACCUUUAGCCAGCACUUUAUAGCACAGGCUAUAAAUUAGGAAGGAAUUUGACUUUUAGUGGCUUCAUAUUACAGUCUAUCAGGACAGUGUAGAAACAGGAGCUAUUUCUAUUAGCAUAGUAAUGAAACAUUUUUUCCAGAGAUAGUGAAUGAAAUCAACCCGCUAAUUAGAUUUUAUGUGUAAUAAUUGAUGGUCAACGUUAUUCAAAAGAGAUAGCAAAAGCUUCCAUUUAAUGCAGCCAAUAUUCUUGUUUAUAUUGGACAAGGAAAAAGAAAGAGAAGAUAGAAUAAGCCACCAUGACAGUAGUGCAUCUUACCUUUUCACUUCCAUUAUGCAGAUCUGAAAAGGAAAAAAACUACUAUAGAGGAGAAAAGAAAUAAUUCUCAACACAGCAUGAUAUUCAUCACUUAAUUCAGAAAAGGUCAUGCACAUGAUUAUAGAUGUAGAACAUACGCAUUCAUCAGCUAUGAUAUACCUACAUUUAGGUAAGAAGUGUAAUAUUUUGUAUCUCACACACAUAUAUGUUAGUUUGUUUAUGGCCCUGCUUCAAAAGGUAAUGAAAAAACCUGAAAUCCAGAGAAUAUUGUUUCCAAUGUUCUAACAGUGUCCUCUGGCAUAUUUGCUGAAACUCAGUUGCCCUGAGAUAUGGCUGCAAGGCUGGUGAGACCAGUGGCACUGAAUCAACAGAAUUUGAUUUCUGGCCACUUUUGUUCAGACUAUCAAACCAAGUCCAAUAGUAAGAAUAUGCAGCUAUGGAACAUUAAUACUGUUGCAUUUUAUAUAAACCAAUAUAAGAGUAGUACUAAACCUUUUAGUAAGAGGGAUUCUGUAUUCAUGAAGGCAAGGUUGAUUAAUUCUGUUCUGUAACAUCUCAAAUGCAUAUCUAGAAUUACCAAAGAGCAUAUCUUAGUCUUUUCUAUAAGAUAUGUAUGAAUACUUUUACUAUAAUUUUUUCUUUUCUACUUUUAUAUUCCUUUUCUUACCUUCUUCCCCUCUACAUAUCUAGUACCUUUAAUAGCUCUUUCUCUGUUUCUCAUGUACUUAGUAUGACUCAAUAACACAUGUAGAUUUUCUUUCCUGCUUGCAGAAUUAUUGCAUAAUUUAGUAUUCAAUGCAAGGAUUUUCAGAGGAAUUCACUGUAUAAUUUUUAACAUAAUAAAAUUUAUAAAAAUAAUGUAUAGGAGUAUGCUUCAAUGAAAAAUGAAAAAAUAAUUGUUUCAUUCAUAUGAGCAACAAGAAGAGGUUGAAAAGGAAACAUUCUUUUAACAGAAAAUCUCUGAUUAUGCAGCUGUAGAAAGAAAAGGUAAUUGACAUUUACUCACUGUCAUAUAGAGACUAAAUGACUGCUUUCAUCAUAUCUCUUUCGCACAGUAUUUAAACUCUAAGUGGAAAUAGCUUUUGACAAAUUGCAAGUAACUCAGCAAAUAUAUUAAUAGUAAUUUAUGUGAAUUUUGUAUAAUAUAAUUUAUGCCAAGAUUGCUGAAAUUUUGUCGGAUCAUCACUCUAUGAAAGUACAGAAUAAUAUAUUGACCUCCUCAAGUAAAAAACUUUAAAUAGAGCUUAUCUGGCAUUUUUUUUCUCAUUAUAGAAUAAGCAGCUGCAUUAACUGCUUACCAAAGAUUCAUAAUAUAUUGCUCUUCUACUUUAUUCAGCUCUUGAGUAGAAAUGAUUCCAAAAUACAACCUUACAUGUAAACAGUCUCACGCUGUUCAUAAUUCUGUUGUAUAAACAGAUUUUCACCUACAUAAACAGAUACAAACAACACCAAAUACUCUCAUAUUGUGGGGGGUUGAACACUGUGGAUUUCAAUCUAAAUGUUGUACCUUCAGUGUGUUCCUUAAUCAAGGUGAAUUGACUGAAUAUUUUUCUCUUUGUGUGUGCUCUUCACAGUUGUCUAAGACUUCCAUAACAGAGUCAACAUCUACAGGGAAAUGUGUCAUAGCUACAGAAAAACUACUUUAUAUAUGUAAUGUUUUAUUUAAUCUAAUAUCUAAAAGAUGUCAGAACAUUUUGAAAUCUUAAUACAAAAUGAGAAACAAUCCAUAUAUUGCUCUAGAAAAAAUUUUUCAAAAUUUUUCCCUUUUUCAUGUAAAUGUAAAACUAAUUCUGCCCCCACUUUAUUCCCUUUUCCACACUAUAACCCUAUAUUUCAGUGAUAAAGUAUUAAGUUUGGCAUUUCAUUGUUUUUACACUAUGGAAAAUAGGGAAUAUUCAUUCCUAUUCAUUGUAUCCAUGACUUUUUAUGAUUUCAGAGUCAUCUAUCAUAUUCACUCUUUACUUUAUUGUUAUUAUAAUUUAUUUAUUAUUUUAUGUUUGUAAAACUGAAGAGUACAAAACAUUUUAAGUCCCUUCUUUCUCCGAAGCGAGUCUGAUAAUCUUCAAUUGCCCCACACAGACUGUAACUGGUGACUUUUCCCCAGGCCUCAGGUGAGCACUUAGUGGGAAAGCUAACACAUCAUAGUCUUUACUGCAAUCACAAAGCUUCUAUAAACUAUGACAUUGGUAACAGAAUUCCCUGUAACUGUGGUUUGCUUAUUGGACAGGUCCCUAUUUGUAAUUGGGUAUUUUUGGCACCAGAAUGUUAAAUAUCAAGAUUUGGGAGAGAGAAGGGAAAGAACAGUAGAGAAACCCUCUCAGCAAUGGAAUUACUUUCACCUUAUCUUUUUUUCUCCUUCUCUUUUUUAUUUACAUGGUCUAUUUACCUGAAGGUAAGAUUGCCCUAUGACUCGUUUCUACCUCUUGUAUAUUGAUUUUUUCAGGUUACCCUGGUUGGUCUUAAGAGACUUGAUAAUAUGUAAAUAAGUAAAAUUUUUUUCUCUAUAAUGUUUCUUCAUUGUUUGUUUUUAUUUGCUUGGAUGGUUGGUUGGUCUUUAAUACAGUUAUUGCAAAUACUUAGAAAAAUAGAGUUUGCAAUGAUAUUUGUCAUCCACUCUCCCAGAGGUAUUGUGUGAGAUGUACCCCUUAAAUUCAGGUCAGUGUAGACUUAGGCUGGAUUGAUGAAAAAAGAUUGCUAAUUAAAAUAUGUAGAUUCCACCAGGGACCAGUGUAUUUUGAGACACAAAGUGUAAUUUUCAAAUAGCAAUGACUGCAAUCUCAAAAGACUUUUCAUUGACUUUUCUCCUGCAGUCUUCCAUUAUUUUCCGUUCCCCCACACCAGAGUAGCAGCUGCACUAAUAAAUUAAAAACCUAAAUUCUGGGAUGAAAAGUAGUUUAUUUCACUUCAAAAUGUGGUCACAUUACAAAACAAAAUGAAACCAAAACAAUAAAAUGUAGUAAGACUGUGAUUCUUAAAAUAAGUACAAAAAAUUUUUUACAACUCCAGUAAAAUUCCAAAAAGCAAUUUUCACCUCUUUUUGCUGAAAAGUGAGCCCUUCUACAACAUCUGUACUGACCAGUCUAGUGCAAUACUUUGUAAGAAUAAAAUUACAUACCAUGGAAGUCAGGAUUCUCACUGUGGGUCAAAGCUACCUUUUAAUAUGGCAGAGAGCACUGAAAUACUCUCUCUUACAGCAUAUGCUGCCAGUACCUUUAAAAAAAUUUCUAUCAACUUCAUGGAUUCAAAAAAAAGAGCUAACAUUCAGUUUGGGUGAAUAAACAGAGAUAUUUCUGAAUGGAAUUCAGUGAUCUUUCUGUAAUAUGACAGUUUGCUUGAAGAAGAUGAAGCUCAGUAAUCAGUUGAUCGUAGCUGAAAUUGGAACUAUAGCCCAAAACAUGUUAUGGACAUAUAUUUUGCUUGUGUUUGGUGGGCCUACAAAUGUUUCCCUAUACUUUCAAUCAAACAGCAGUCUUUCUUGCAAGAUCUGGAUUGAAUAUUGGGCAUGGCAAAACAAUAAUUUUAAAAAAGAUAUAUAAAAUAGAUUCCUUAAUUGAACUUGAAUGGCUUGAAUUGGUGUUAUCACCUGUCCCUGUCUGCAUUAUUAACUUUUUUUAAGCUCUAAUAUUUUCUUUUGUCUUAAACUUUCAGCCUCCUGAAUUUUUUUCAGCCUAGCUGCAAGCUUUCGUCUGAUUGAUAGAUUGAAUGAAGCAGUAUUUUCAUGAAAAAUUUGACUUCUGUUGACGAAACUUGUCCUUGAAAAAUUGCUAUAUAAAAUCAUU